GGGGAUGUGGCUCAUUGGUAGAGCUCUUGCACUGAUUGCAUGCACAAAGCCCUGGGUUCAAUUCCUUGGCACCGCCA
rnacentral:tRNA from 1 species